GCUUACGAUGAAAUCAAUCUUUGCUGUUAACUUCACUGGAACCUUGGUGAAACCUCUAAAAAAAUCUGAAAAGCCAGUGCAUUUAAAAAAGCUACCAGUCGGAAAGGGGUGGCAGACGGCAGGUCAACUCCACGUCUCCACGGAAACAGCCCUGCCUCCUGGGGCGGUCACGGCCCAGACCGGCAGCGGACCCGGACUGUUCUGUAUGUCCGCCGCCCGACCGGGGCCGCAGCACAGAGGGUCAGCCGCAGGGCGCCCGAGAUGAGCGGACCGGCCGCGCGACCCGCCCCAGGCGUGGCGCCUCAGAACAGCACCGAAGCCUUGUUGUACUUCAGGAGAGAGCAGAGACCAAGGAGCAGAGGCGUUCAAAUGGAACAGACCCAACAGUGCAGUCCCAGUUCUGCCUGCCAGAGUUUCACUAUGCAGUUCAAGCUGGCCUUCAGCUCACUUUAUGAUUUAUAUAAGCUGUUACAGCCGCAAGGAAGAAUGGAACAUUCUGAAGUAAUGAAGUUUAUAAUCAUUUGUCAUAGAAAGAAACUGGAGAAACACACCUAUGAGGAAGCUGGAUCUUGAGAUUCUGGUUAAGAUUUUUCAUAUCAUUUGUCAAACCAAAACAAAUAUACAUCUGAACCUUUUUGUUAUCCAAAACUUCAAGAAUAAUAAUGGCUACUGCUAUUUCUAUUUAACUCCUUUCCUACAUCCAAAAAAGUUUAUACUGCAGUUAAUUAUCUCAGAAAAGAUGAGUCAAACACAAUUAAAGACAUAACAAAUCUUAGGCACAAGAUGAAAAUGAAGAUGCACAGAUUUCAAACCUUACCCGUUUGAGAUGAAUUGUUUUCAGCGUCACGGCACACUCAGAGAGCGCCUGUGAAAAAAAAAUUGUAGAGUUUUAAUAUGGUCACUUUGUGAUUACUGAUCCAACUUUAUAUUUCCCUACUGUCUGCUAGAAAAUAGAUAACUCAUUGCAUGGGACUGAUAAAAAAACAACUGUUUCACAUAAAAUAUUCCAGAGAUGAAAUUCUGAGAAAUUAUCAUAUAGAAGAAGAAAGUGGACAUUUAAUGUUCUUAAUAGCUAAGGAAAACCAUUAAUUUAAAGUAAGAGGACUGGAGAUGUAGCUCACUGUAGACCCUGGGUUUAAUGCCCAGCACCCCAAAUAGAUGAAGUCGUAAUUUAAAAAUCACUGAACUGAAAGAAAGAAAAAGCAAAUGAAAGAAACAAAAUAUAGUCAUCCUGGCACUAAAGAAAAUAUGCACAUAUGAGAUUGACACAAAGCGAAUAAAGAUUCUGAAGCACUUACCAAUAC